GUAACGGCGAGUGAAGCGGCAAGAGCUCAAAUUUGAAAGCUGGCCCCCUCGGGGCCCGCAUUGUAAUUUGCAGAGGAUGCUUCGGGCGUGGCCCCUGUCUAAGUGCCCUGGAACGGGCCGUCAGAGAGGGUGAGAAUCCCGUAUGGGAUGGGGUGCCCACGCCCGUGUGAAGCUCCUUCGACGAGUCGAGUUGUUUGGGAAUGCAGCUCUAAAUGGGUGGUAAAUUUCAUCUAAAGCUAAAUAUUGGCCGGAGACCGAUAGCGCACAAGUAGAGUGAUCGAAAGAUGAAAAGCACUUUGAAAAGAGAGUUAAAAAGCACGUGAAAUUGUUGAAAGGGAAGCGCUUGCGACCAGACUCGCCCCAGGGGUUCAACCGGCUUUCGGGCCGGUGUACUUCCCCCGGGGCGGGCCAGCGUCGGUUUUGGCGGCCGGUCAAAGGCCCCUGGAAUGUAACGCCUCUCGGGGCGUCUUAUAGCCAGGGGUGCCAUGCGGCCCGCCGGGACCGAG
rnacentral:rRNA from 1 species